rfam:Corynebacterium kroppenstedtii DSM 44385, complete genome.
GGGGCCGAUUUUGGUUUCGACUCCGUUCUUCAAGCCAGGGGAAGCGUGCCGGUGCAGGCUAGAGACCACCGUUAAGCGUCGUAGUACAUUGAUAAGCGCCGAGAAUACUCAGCGCGACUACGCUCUCGCUGCCUAAUCUAGCGAAGCGUGUCUGUCAGCCCAGGUUCGUUCCCGGCCUGGAUCCUGGCAUCGUUGAGGGAACUUGCCACACCGUUGUGUUGUCGGGGCGUUGUGGGACUUCUUACUGACAACUGGGCCUGUCAUCCAGACAAGUUCGCCUGAUCUGGAAGGUCGAGCAGAGACUCCGCGCGAACUGCGCACGGAGAAGCCCUGGCGCGAUGACGGAGGACCCGAGUUCGAUUCUCGGCGGCUCCACCA